GCCAGAAUGGUGUAGUAGUUUGAAUGCUGGACUAUGACUUUGAGGGCCAGGGUUCGAUUCCCUGCUCAGCCA